rnacentral:rRNA from 1 species
GACAGAGGCCUCAAGCGUUAGGCGGAAUCACUGGGCUUAAAGCGUGUGUAGGCGGAUCGUUAAGUGUCUUGUGAAAUCCCACGGCUCACCGUGGAACUGCUGGGCAUACUGGCGAUCUUGGGCCAACUAGGGGCAACUGGAACAAGCGGUGGAGCGGUGAAAUGCGUAGAUAUCGCUUGGAACGCCGAAGGUGAAAACAGGUUGCUGGGGUUGUGCCGACGCUGAGACACGAAAGCCAGGGGAGCAAACGGG